GAUGAACGCUGGCGGCGUGCCUAAUACAUGCAAGUCGAGCGAACAGAUAAGGAGCUUGCUCCUUUGACGUUAGCGGCGGACGGGUGAGUAACACGUGGUUAACCUACCUAUAAGACUGGGAUAACUUCGGGAAACCGGAGCUAAUACCGGAUAACAUUUGGAACCCCAUGGUUCUAAAGUGAAAGAUGGUUUUGCUUUCACUUUUAGAUGGACCCGCGCCGUAUUAGCUAGUUGGUAAGGUAACGGCUUACCAAGGCAACGAUACGUAGCCGACCUGAGAGGGUGAUCGGCCACACUGGAACUGAGACACGGUCCAGACUCCUACGGGAGGCAGCAGUAGGGAAUCUUCCGCAAUGGGCGAAAGCCUGACGGAGCAACGCCGCGUGAGUGAUGAAGGGUUUCGGCUCGUAAAACUCUGUUAUUAGGGAAGAACAAACGUGUAAGUAACUGUGCACGUCUUGACGGUACCUAAUCAGAAAGCCACGGCUAACUACGUG
rnacentral:rRNA from 1 species